UCGGGUAUGGUGUAACGGCUAACAUUGCCGCCUCUCAUUGCAGGGCGUAAGUUCAGUCAGUGCGCGGCAGCUCGGGGUUCGAUUCCCCGUACCCGAA